rnacentral:rRNA from 1 species
AAGGAUUUCCUAUCUCACUGUUUUGAGAUGAAGGAUUUAGGAGUGGCUGAUGUCAUUCUGAACAUCAAGUUGUUGAGAGAUGAUGAUGGCGGGAUUACAUUGCUUCAAUCUCACUAUGUGGAAAAGAUCUUGAGUCGCUUUGGCUAUAGUGACUGCAAGCCCUCUCCAACACCAUAUGACGCUAGCGUGCUGCUUCGAAAGAAUCGAAGAAUUGCUAGAGAUCAAUUGAAGUAUUCUCAGAUUAUUGGCUCGCUUAUGUACUUAGCAAGUGCUACAAGACCUGACAUCUCUUUUGCUGUUAGCAAACUGAGUCGGUUUGUUUCAAAACCAGGAGAUGUGCAUUGGAAAGCUCUAGAGAGAGUUUUGCGUUAUUUGAAAGGC